UCCAGUGUGACAUAGUGGUUGGAGCAUUGGACUGCAACUCUGGAGACCAGGGUUCGAUUCCCAGCUCAGCCA